rnacentral:rRNA from 1 species
CCCCGGGAGGGGAGUGAAAUAGAACCUGAAACCGCAUGCAUACAAACAGUAGGAGCUCCGCAAGGAGUGACUGCGUACCUUUUGCAUAAUGGGUCAGCGACUUACAUUCUGUGGCGAGCUUAACCGAAUAGGGGAGGCGCAGCGAAAGCGAGUUCGAAUAGAGCGAACAGUCGCAGGGUGUAGACCCGAAACCAGAUGAGCUAUCCAUGGCCAGGUUGAAGGUGUGGUAACACACACUGGAGGACCGAACCGACUAGUGUUGCAAAAUUAGCGGAUGAGCUGUGGAUAGGGGUGAAAGGCCAAACAAAUCUGGAGAUAGCUGGUUCUCCCCGAAAACUAUUGAGGUAGUGCCUCGUGUAUCGCUCCAGGGGGUAGAGCACUGUUUUGGCUAGGGGGACAUGGAGUCUUACCAAACCAAGGCAAACUCCGAAUACCUGGAAGUGUGAGCACGGGAGACAGAGCACCGGGUGCUAACGUCCGGACUCAAAAGGGAAACAACCCAGACCGCCGGCUAAGGUCCCCAAUAAUGGCUAAGUGGAAAACGAAGUGGAAAGGCCGUGACAACCAGGAAGUUGGCUUAGAAGCAGCCAUCCUUCAAAGAAAGCGUAAUAGCUCACUGGUCGAGUCUUUCUGCGCGGAAGAUGUAACGGGGCUAAGCCAUUAACCGAAGCCGCGGAUGCGGAGAUUAUUCUCUGCGUGGUAGGGGAGCGUUCUGUAAGUCUGCGAAGGAGUCUUGAGAAGGAUUCUGGAGAUAUCAGAAGUGCGAAUGCUGACAUGAGUAACGUUAAAGCGGGUGAAAAGCCCGCUCGCCGUAAGCCCAAGGUUUCCUGCUCUACGUUCAUCGGAGCAGGGUGAGUCGGCCCCUAAGGCGAGGCCGAAAGGCGUAGUCGAUGGGAAUCGGGUUAAUAUUCCCGAACCGCCGCCGAAUGCGAUGGGGUGACGGAGUUUAGAAGGUCAGCCGGGUGUUGGACGUCCCGGUGGGUGAGUGUAGGAGGUCUGCAGGCAAAUCCGCAGACGCAUCUCCGAGGCAAAGCCGCGAUCUGCUAAGGCAGAGAAGUGAUUGGACGAACUUCCAAGAAAACCCUCUAAGCGUCAGUUCGGCGGGACCGUACCGCAAACCGACACUGGUGGGCGAGCUGAAUAUGCUCAGGCGCUUGAGAGAACUCGGGAGAAGGAACUCGGCAAAUUGACACCGUAACUUCGGAAGAAGGUGUGCCUGAGUAACGUAGGCGCAGAGACUGCGCUCGCGUGAAAAGGUCUCAGAGAAUAGGUGGCUGCGACUGUUUAUUAAAAACACAGCACUCUGCCAAGUCGAAAGACGACGUAUAGGGUGUGAUGCCUGCCCGGUGCUGGAAGAUUAAUUGAUGGGCUGAGAGGCCUUGAUCGAAGUCCCAGUAAACGGCGGCCGUAACUAUAACGGUCCUAAGGUAGCGAAAUUCCUUGUC